rnacentral:rRNA from 1 species
CCUACGGGAGGCAGUAGUAGGGAAUAUUGCUCAAUGGGGGAAACCCUGAAGCAGCAACGCCGCGUGGAGGAUGAAGGUUUUCGGAUUGUAAACUCCUUUUGUUAGAGAAGAUAAUGACGGUAUCUAACGAAUAAGCACCGGCUAACUCCGUGCCAGCAGCCGCGGUAAUACGGAGGGUGCAAGCGUUACUCGGAAUCACUGGGCGGAAAGAGCGCGUAGGCGGGAUAGCAAGUCAGAUGUGAAAUCCUAUGGCUUAACCAUAGAACUGCAUUUGAAACUGUUAUUCUAGAGUAUGGGAGAGGUAGGUGGAAUUCUUGGUGUAGGGGUAAAAUCCGUAGAGAUCAAGAGGAAUACUCAUUGCGAAGGCGACCUGCUAGAACAUAACUGACGCUGAUGCGCGAAAGCGUGGGGAGCAAACAGGAUUAGAUACCCUAGUAGUC